AGUGACAUCCGGCGAAAGCCGGCUCCCGCAAGGGCAGUUGCCGAGGUGCUGCAUGGCUGUCGUCAGCUCGUGUCGUGAGAUGUUGGGUUAAGUCCCGCAACGAGCGCAACCCUUGUCCGCUGUUGCCAUCAGGUUAAGCUGGGCACUCUGCGGAGACUGCCGGUGAUAAACCGGAGGAAGGUGGGGAUGACGUCAAGUCAGCAUGGCCUUUAUGUCUGGGGCUACACACGUGCUACAAUGGCAGAUACAAACCGUCGCGAGACCGCAAGGUGGAGCUAAUCGGAGAAAGUCUGUCUCAGUUCGGAUUGCAGGCUGCAACUCGCCUGCAUGAAGUUGGAAUCGCUAGUAAUCGCGGAUCAGCACGCCGCGGUGAAUACGUUCCCGGGCCUUGUACACACCGCCCGUCACAUCACGAAAGCUGGCUGUACUAGAAGUCGCCGCGCUAACCCGCAAGGGAGGCAAGCGCCUAAGGUAUGGUUAGUGAUUGGGGUG
rnacentral:rRNA from 1 species